rnacentral:rRNA from 1 species
UAGACCCGAAACCCGGUGAUCUAGCCAUGGGCAGGUUGAAGGUUGGGUAACACUAACUGGAGGACCGAACCGACUAAUGUUGAAAAAUUAGCGGAUGACUUGUGGCUGGGGGUGAAAGGCCAAUCAAACCGGGAGAUAGCUGGUUCUCCCCGAAAGCUAUUUAGGUAGCGCCUCGUGAAUUCAUCUCCGGGGGUAGAGCACUGUUUCGGCAAGGGGGUCAUCCCGACUUACCAACCCGAUGCAAACUGCGAAUACCGGAGAAUGUUAUCACGGGAGACACACGGCGGGUGCUAACGUCCGUCGUGAAGAGGGAAACAACCCAGACCGCCAGCUAAGGUCCCAAAGUCAUGGUUAAGU